rnacentral:lncRNA from 10 species
ACCCUGGCUGUUCGUCGUGGCAAGAGUCCACCACGGAGGCUGGCAGGGCAGAGUUGCCACCCCAUGUUCUCAGUUUCUCCACCAUCGUCCCUGGGGGCUUCCAGUUCCCCCUUGCACUAGGUCACAGGCAGCGUUAGCCAUCUUCUGACUUUCCCGAAGCCUCUCUUGGUUGCAUUGGCUGAAAUGAAGCUGUCACCUUCCAAUCUCGGAAGGGAGAGAAAUUCUUGGUGACAUUGGCUGAAGUGAAGCUGUCAUCUUCCUAUCCCAGAAAGGAAAGAAAUGGGGAGACCCAUUCGAGACCAAGGGAGGCCAGGCGCCAUGGCUCACGCCU